ACAAACCAAAGAAAAUCCAACACACAGCUUCCUUACUCAGCUCACUCGUCGCUCCUAUCCGCAAUAAAUCUCAAAUGGCACCUCAUGCCAACCGCCUUGUCGAAGUUGGAAGAGACGGGUUUGCAAUGCUGGACAGAAUUUACGGCCCAAAGCCGAUGGCUCAAGGGGCGGGAAAUCGAUGCGUCCCACAACAAUCCCACGAGGCGGUUCGCAACACAGCGGCUCUUUAUCGUGAUGAUGUUGUGGAUAGCAAGACGGCAGCGAAGAUGUACGGGGGACUGGUCAUUACGGAGAUCCGCAAGAGCAAAGUUCCUGGUCGGAGUCAUUAGAUUCUGUCUUGUACAUGGUUCAGGUAAUACCCUAGUAUUCUAGCGUCUGAAGUUAAGGGAUGUCCGACCUCCGCCAUGUUCUUUCUAAGCUCUGUCCUUUAGACUAGUGCUGCUGUGUACUUAUUCCAACUCUCCUGUGUGAUUAGCUGUGUACUGAAAUCUAUUCUGAAAAGUAGUACAUGCCGUUGCC
rnacentral:lncRNA from 1 species